CUAACACAUGCAAGUCGAGGGGCAGCGGAGAGGUAGCAAUACCUUUGCCGGCGACCCGGCGCACGGGUGAGUAACACGUAUGCAAUCCACCUGUAACAGGGGGAUAACCCGGAGAAAUCCGGACUAAUACCCCAUAAUAUGGGCGCUCCGCAUGGAGAGCCCAUUAAAGAGAGCAAUUUUGGUUACAGACGAGCAUGCGCUCCAUUAGCCAGUUGGCGGGGUAACGGCCCACCAAAGCGACGAUGGAUAGGGGUUCUGAGAGGAAGGUCCCCCACAUUGGAACUGAGACACGGUCCAAACUCCUACGGGAGGCAGCAGUGAGGAAUAUUGGUCAAUGGUCGGCAGACUGAACCAGCCAAGUCGCGUGAGGGAAGACGGCCCUACGGGUUGUAAACCUCUUUUGUCGGAGAGUAAAGUACGCUACGUGUAGCGUAUUGCAAGUAUCCGAAGAAAAAGCAUCGGCUAACUCCGUGCCAGCAGCCGCGGUAAUACGGAGGAUGCGAGCGUUAUCCGGAUUUAUUGGGUUUAAAGGGUGCGUAGGCGGCACGCCAAGUCAGCGGUGAAAUUUCCGGGCUCAACCCGGAGUGUGCCGUUGAAACUGGCGAGCUAGAGUACACAAGAGGCAGGCGGAAUGCGUGGUGUAGCGGUGAAAUGCAUAGAUAUCACGCAGAACCCCGAUUGCGAAGGCAGCCUGCU
rnacentral:rRNA from 1 species